UGAGACACGGCCCAGACUCCUACGGGAGGCAGCAGUGGGGAAUAUUGCACAAUGGGCGGAAGCCUGAUGCAGCGACGCCGCGUGAGGGAUGACGGCCUUCGGGUUGUAAACCUCUUUCAGUAGGGAAGAAGCGAGAGUGACGGUACCUGCAGAAGAAGCGCCGGCUAACUACGUGCCAGCAGCCGCGGUAAUACGUAGGGCGCAAGCGUUGUCCGGAAUUAUUGGGCGUAAAGAGCUCGUAGGCGGUUUGUCGCGUCUGCUGUGAAAGCCCGGGGCUCAACCCCGGGUCUGCAGUGGGUACGGGCAGACUAGAGUGCAGUAGGGGAGACUGGAAUUCCUGGUGUAGCGGUGAAAUGCGCAGAUAUCAGGAGGAACACCGAUGGCGAAGGCAGGUCUCUGGGCUGUUACUGACGCUGAGGAGCGAAAGCAUGGGGAGCGAACAGGAUUAGAUACCCUGGUAGUCCAUGCCGUAAACGUUGGGCACUAGGUGUGGGGGACAUUCCACGUUUUCCGCGCCGUAGCUAACGCAUUAAGUGCCCCGCCUGGGGAGUACGGCCGCAAGGCUAAAACUCAAAGGAAUUGACGGGGGCCCGCACAAGCGGCGGAGCAUGCGGAUUAAUUCGAUGCAACGCGAAGAACCUUACCAAGGCUUGACAUUCACCGGACCGCCCCAGAGAUGGGGUUUCCCUUCGGGGCUGGUGGACAGGUGGUGCAUGGUUGUCGUCAGCUCGUGUCGUGAGAUGUUGGGUUAAGUCCCGCAACGAGCGCAACCCUCGUUCUAUGUUGCCAGCACGUGAUGGUGGGGACUCAUAGGAGACUGCCGGGGUCAACUCGGAGGAAGGUGGGGAUGACGUCAAAUCAUCAUGCCCCUUAUGUCUUGGGCUUCACGCAUGCUACAAUGGCUGGUACAGAGAGUGGCGAGCCUGUGAGGGUGAGCGAAUCUCGGAAAGCCGGUCUCAGUUCGGAUUGGGGUCUGCAACUCGACCCCA
rnacentral:rRNA from 1 species